GUUUUACUCCGGAGAAGGAACCCCGUUUGUCAGAGAAGGAGCCUUCGCAAAGUUCUGCCGUCAUGAGCGAGAACUCCAUCUCCAGCAGUUCCACGUCAGAUGGAGACGAGAUACAGCUAGCCAGGAGCUGGAUGGACUACGACCAGGAUUUGACUCUCUUGCAGACAUGGUAUAAGCUGGAUAAAAACACAAUUCCUGCUGUGUACCGUUUACUUUCAGUCAGCACACAUCACCCUGACUACCUCAGUCGGGAUGGGCAUCGCAGGAAGCUGGGAAGGAAGGUGUGGCGCUCUUCCUGUGUGAAACUGUGGAACGUGCUGUGGCGAUCUGGACCUGAGGCCAUUGGAGAAGAAGCCACCUGCCAUCUGCUUAAAACAGGCAUGAGUUUUGCUGUCAUAAGGAAGUUUUGUGUCAAUCACAGAUGUAGAAUACAUGUGCACUUGACUUACUUGGAAGCCUAGUUGAAUCACAAAGCCAAAUGUUGCGCAUGUUUCAGUGUUGGACUGGGAAGUGGAACAGGGUCUUGGAGGAAAGCAGCCUCCGGAGGAGUACAGUCACUGCUAUAAGAGGAUCAUCACUGACCUUCUGUACAAUCUGAAAAAUGA
rnacentral:lncRNA from 1 species